rnacentral:rRNA from 1 species
UACGUAGGGUGCGAGCGUUGUCCGGAAUUAUUGGGCGUAAAGAGCUUGUAGGCGGUUUGUCGCGUCUGCUGUGAAAAUCCGGGGCUCAACCCCGGACUUGCAGUGGGUACGGGCAGACUAGAGUGUGGUAGGGGAGACUGGAAUUCCUGGUGUAGCGGUGAAAUGCGCAGAUAUCAGGAGGAACACCGAUGGCGAAGGCAGGUCUCUGGGCCACUACUGACGCUGAGAAGCGAAAGCAUGGGAGCGAACAGG